UAGAAUGUUCCAGCCGUGGCCUGCAUGUGCUAAUCCAGGGCGCCCAGUGCGAGAGUGGCCCAUUAAUUUAUAUGAGCUGCCAAUACCUCUGCGUCCUUCCUUCCAGAUCCUGAGAAGACGCACCAGGGAUCCUGCCAAGACAUAAGCACAUUGUUUUAGAAGAACACAAAUGUUAUCCUGGCACCCGUCAGUGGGCGUCCGAGACAAGGCCAAGAUACAUCUGGCAGACAUAGCUAGGAGGCUUCAACACAAGGUUGAUUCUGGGUCUUCAUCCUUUCAUGAUCCCGAGGAGUUCAUCGUUCUGCUUGACCGCUGUUUCGGUUCAGUUCUGAGGUUCGGUUUCUGAGUUCGCGGAUCCCAGCCGGAGGUCGCUUGGAGGAGUGUUCGGUUCGUGUAUGGUCGGCUAGUCGCGUCAAAGAAAGAGGAAGAGAUGUGGGAGGAAUACCUAUUUAUGGACUGUUUAGGGGAGUGGUUAGUUGGGGGUUUGUCCUUAAUUUCUUAUGUUAACUCUUUGCUGCUGGGAGUAAAGUAAAGAAAGU